rnacentral:rRNA from 1 species
AAACUUUCAACAACGGAUCUCUUGGUUCUGGAUCGAUGAAGAACGCAGCGAACUGCGAGGAAGUAAUGUGAAUUGAGAAUUCAGUGAAUCAUCGAAUCUUUGAACGCACAUUGGCCCGCCAGUAUUCUGGGGGCAUGCCUGUCCGAGCGUCAUUUCAA